rnacentral:sRNA from 1 species
ACAGAAUGAGAUCAACAACCCCAAGUUCAACUUUCUGAACCCCAAUGACCCUUACCAUGCCUACUACCGCCACAAGGUCAGCGAGUUCAAGGAGGGGAAGGCUCAGGAGCCGUCCGCUGCCAUCCCCAAGGUUAUGCAGCAGCAGCAGCAGGCCACCCAGCAGCAGCUGCCCCAGAAGGUCCAAGCCCAAGUAAUCCAAGAGACCAUCGUGCCCAAAGAGCCUCCUCCUGAGUUUGAGUUCAUUGCUGAUCCUCCCUCCAUCUCAGCCUUCGACCUGGAUGUGGUGAAGCUGACGGCUCAGUUUGUGGCCAGGAAUGGGCGCCAGUUUCUGACCCAGCUGAUGCAGAAGGAGCAGCGCAACUACCAGUUUGACUUUCUCCGCCCACAGCACAGCCUCUUCAACUACUUCACAAAGCUAGUGGAACAGUACACCAAGGUGCCUGGACAGGAUGGGGCUGG